GCGCCAAUAAGGUCUUGUCCCUUAAUGGUUCCAAGUUCGCUGACUACACCACGUUCCUUUGAAAGCUUUUGGUAUGCCAUGUUGUUAGCAGCACGACGAGUGCAAAUGAAAAGCUCAUUGGGAACAUUACUUUCGUAAAUGCCAUAGGUGAUGUUGGGGCCAACAUAGCAAUUUGUUUGGCCAUACAUGGUUUCUGGACGGAGCGUUGCUGCAAUCAUACAGACCUUCUUAUUGGAAAGAUCAAUGGAUUGGAGAGCUUUACGAGCAGCCUCGGGGAACUCCAAAACUUCCAUUUUGAUACCAGUGUACUCCUGAGGACCAACACCUUCACCACUUUUACGGUCGUGAUCCAUACAGGGUUGACCGUCCUUGAUGGAAUAAACAGUAUAGCGCUCACCAAACUUAAUUUUCCCAGAAUCGUGCAAAUGAUUUACUUGCCAACGUACAAAGGAGUCAUAGUAAGGAUUGACAUCAGUAGUGAUAAAGGAACGACGCCAGUCAAUACCGAGACCAAAUUCAGUACAAUCUCUUUGGCACAAGGGAGGGAAAUAUGAGAGCCAGUACUUUGCAUCAGCAAACUUGUGAAUUUCAGUCCGGGGAACACCAAGAGAUUCCAUAAUUUGAAAUUGGUACUUUACAGCAGCUGUUUUAGCCGCAGCCUUACUCUUUUUACCGCUGUGCUUAGUGACAUCUUCGCGAGCAUUAGGAGUCUUAACUUCGACCUCUACCUCUUCUUCCUUUUCUUCAGGAACGUCAAAGCUGGGUCCAAACAUCUCUAUUUCACGUGACAAACGGUCAGCACUAGCGCAAAUAGGCAUACCGGUGCAGUGAAAGCCCAUGGGAAACAACACUCGCUUUCCAUUCAAGCGUUCAAAAGCUGUAGUAAACUCGACCUUAGACAAAGUGAAGGCAUGGCCAAGAUGCAAUGCACCAUUCAUAUAAGGAUAAGGCAUGUUACCAAAAAAUUUAGGAUAUUUCUUACGAAGUUCAUCGAUCGGAACAUCUUCCAAAGGAGCAUCGACUUCAAAUGCCU